rnacentral:lncRNA from 1 species
GAGGGAAAUUUCCUAUGAAAAGUAACGGGCCAGCCCCACUUGAAAAGUUCUGUGCAGGGCUAUAGAAAUGGGAUACUUGUGUAUAGUAUUAAGUCUUUCCCAGCCUCCUGCACCUGGUCUUAUCCAGAGAAAACAGAUUGGAUUAGAAGUGUAAGUGGCAAAACUCAGAAUGAGAACGUGGGUCCUGUUCCUUACGUUGCCGUCGUGUUGCUCUUCUGCUUCCUUUUUGCAUGCCGUCCUGGUGGCCAUGCCUAGGAGCUGGACUUUCAUUGAAGCCCAAGAGGUCAAGAGUUACAGCCUCCUUUUGCAGUGCAUCUUCCCCAUGAAACCAGAUUUCCCACACCAGGCCAGGGAAGCAUCUUGCUGGACAAAUAUUCCACCAUUCACAGUUUGUAUGAGUGUAUCCAGCCAAUCUGUGCAGUCUCCCAAGCCUAAGAACCAGAACUCUGCUGUAUCUAGCACGUUGGGGACGCUUUAUGGCAGGGGCAGGCAAUUAUUGAGGGGGGAAGGCCACUUACUGAAUUUUUUGGCAAGCCAUCGAGGGCUGCAUGACAGGCAGCUAAGGGCAGAUAA